rnacentral:lncRNA from 1 species
GUUCACAAUCAGUAACAUACUUCUGGAAUGUUUGCACGGGCACUGAUGAGGCUGUAAUACUGCCUUGUAGUCAAUAAGCUAAUUGUGCUACAUGAUCUGAUUGAUAGGUUGGAGAAAUAAUAUGUCCACACAGAUAAAGGAACUGAUAUAUACACUUAUGUCCAUGUUGAAAUGCAUUGAGUCUCAUUUAAAAAAAAAGUUGAAUAUCUGCCAUGUCUGUAAUGUAAUCCUGUUUGAAAACAUGGGAUCAUUCUGAACUUGAUAAAUGUGAGAACUCGUUGCUGAAUGUGCUUUAAACCACUGAUAAGUUGGUGAUACUAUGAUAAGAAUACUGGCAAUGUUCAUGCUCUGUAUAAUAUGUAGGUACGACUGAGGUACAGUUGAAUAAAUGUAAAGUUUAAUAAACAAUAGUGGAAAUUAUUUGUCCAUGCCAAGUAAGUCAAGCUGUAAUGCCACAUCCAAAGUAAAAUGAAGAACUUGAUCAUGUUGAUAAUGUCUAAUCCUUUUGUUGUAAAUCUGGUGAAACCAAAGUGCAUACAGGACGUGUCUAUGUCUCCAUUUC